UGGCUGUCGUCAGCUCGUGUCGUGAGAUGUUGGGUUAAGUCCCGUAACGAGCGCAACCCUUGUCCUUAGUUACCAGCACGUAAUGGUGGGCACUCUAAGGAGACUGCCGGUGACAAACCGGAGGAAGGUGGGGAUGACGUCAAGUCAUCAUGGCCCUUACGGCCUGGGCUACACACGUGCUACAAUGGUCGGUACAGAGGGUUGCCAAGCUGCGAGGUGGAGCUAAUCCCACAAAACCGAUCGUAGUCCGGAUCGCAGUCUGCAACUCGACUGCGUGAAGUCGGAAUCGCUAGUAAUCGUGAAUCAGAAUGUCACGGGGAAUACGUUCCCGGGUCUUGUACACACCGCCA
rnacentral:rRNA from 1 species